ensembl:lncRNA
UAUGUCAGUUCCAUCAGCACUCCAGAUGAGGCAAGACAGAAGUCAGUCCCUCCUUUGGGCAGACCACCAACCUGGAGACAGCAGAUGCAUACCUCACUAUGUCUUUUUCCCUCAGGGAGAAGUUACAGGACAAGGUGAUUUCACUUGGAGCUGAGUUUUGCCAGACUUGGGGAAAUAUUAAUGCAGGUCUGUUGCCUGGCUGGAGUGCAGUGGAGCGAUCAUCACUCACAGCAACCUCCACCUUCUGGGUUGGAGCGAUUCUACUGCCUCAGCCUACUGAGUAGCUGGGACUACAGGCUGGAGUGCAAUGGCAUGAUCUCAGCUCAUCGCAACCUCUGCCUCCCAGGUUCAAGCAAUUCUCCUGCCUCAGCCUACCAAAUAGCUGGGAUUACAAGCCUGUGCCACCAUGCUGGCUAAUUUUGUACUUUGAGUUUCUACAUGUUGGUCAGGCUGGUCUGGAAUUUCAUUCCUCAGGUGACCUGACCACCUCAGCCUCCCAAAGUGCUGGAAUUAUAGGUGUGAGCCACCGCACCCAGCUUUAGAACAUUAUUAUAAGUGUUAUAGAUAUGGUCUGAGAAAAAGGCUAUUUCUUCAAGAAAAAAAAAUUGAAAGCACUAUUCAGCAUUAAAAAAGGAAUAAACUAUUGUUUCAUACUACAAUUGUGAUAAAUCUCAAAAUCAUUAUACUAGAUGAAAGAAACCAGGCAACAAAAGUACAUACUGCACCAAAUAAUUUAUAUAGAACUCUAGAAAAUGCAAUGUAAUCUAUGUAAUGAAUGAAAACACACCAGUGGUUACAUGGGAAGGAGAUUUUUGGGAGGGAGAGAGGAAUUUAAAAAGGUCUUGUUGGAGAACUAGAUAUGUUCACUAUUUUAAUUCUGCUGAUAGAAUCAUGAGUAUAUCCACAUGUCAAAGCAUAUCAAAUUGUACCCUUGAAAUACGUACAGAUUUAUUAUAUUGACAGGGGAGACCCCCUCCCCAUCUCCCUCCUCACCUCCGAAUGAGAAGGAGGGUAAAGAGAAAUAAAAUGCCGAAGAGCUUAAAUACCUGGUCAGGCAACUUGUUGGCACCACUGACCAGACUGUAAAGAGGCCCAAGGACUGGGAAAAUAACUCCCUUUUCUGUUCCCAGAGCCUCUGCUAUCUGUAAGCCUUGAAAUACUACCAGCCGGAGCCUGGCACUGGAUCAUAUCUUCCACAUUUGCAUGACCCAGGCCCCCUUCUGAAAAUAAAUCUAUCAACUAAUGAUUUACUGCCUUUGUCUUAUUUCUGUAAACCCUCUCCCCUUCCUGUUUCCGUUCGAGCUGCAUGUGAACUAGAAAAUCAAUAAAGCCAAAGAUUGUGAGGUCAAAUGUCCAACCAAUGGAUAAUAACACAGUUUCACCUCUGCACCGCUUUAGAGUUGUAAACCCUUAAAAAAGGAAAGAAGCUGCUUCUUCGAGAGCUCAGUGGUCAAAGCAUUAGCCUCCCACAGCUCCUGGUCAAAUAAAAAGACACUUCCUUUCUCAGUUUGGUGUUGGAGAGGUUUGUUCCCCACCAAUCCUGCUACAAUGUUUCAACUAUAACAGUAGAGCUGUUAAACAGAUUGAAAACUACCACUAUUAAUUAAUAAACAAAUCUUUACUGAAAAGGGAGUUUACAUUGCUGUGAGCACUGAUUGAUGAAUCAAAGAGGAAAAAAGUUGAGGAGGAAGAGAAAAGUAAAAUUUAC